rnacentral:rRNA from 1 species
UGCCCAGCUUGCUGGGCGGAUUAGUGGCGAACGGGUGAGUAAUACGUGAGUAACCUGCCCUUGACUCUGGGAUAAGCCUGGGAAACUGGGUCUAAUACUGGAUACUACCUCUUACCGCAUGGUGGGUGGUGGAAAGGGUUUUACUGGUUUUGGAUGGGCUCACGGCCUAUCAGCUUGUUGGUGGGGUAAUGGCUCACCAAGGCGACGACGGGUAGCCGGCCUGAGAGGGUGACCGGCCACACUGGGACUGAGACACGGCCCAGACUCCUACGGGAGGCAGCAGUGGGGAAUAUUGCACAAUGGGCGGAAGCCUGAUGCAGCGACGCCGCGUGAGGGAUGACGGCCUUCGGGUUGUAAACCUCUUUCAGUAGGGAAGAAGCGAGAGUGACGGUACCUGCAGAAGAAGCGCCGGCUAACUACGUGCCAGCAGCCGCGGUAAUACGUAGGGCGCAAGCGUUGUCCGGAAUUAUUGGGCGUAAAGAGCUCGUAGGCGGUUUGUCGCGUCUGCUGUGAAAGCCCGGGGCUCAACCCCGGGUCUGCAGUGGGUACGGGCAGACUAGAGUGCAGUAGGGGAGACUGGAAUUCCUGGUGUAGCGGUGAAAUGCGCAGAUAUCAGGAGGAACACCGAUGGCGAAGGCAGGUCUCUGGGCUGUUACUGACGCU